rnacentral:rRNA from 1 species
AUGAGUGACUGCUUCCAACAUCUUAUUGACAGAGUUUGUCAGAGGCUUAAGGGUUGGAAAGAAAAAGUUCUUUCAAUGCAAGCAAAUAAAAUUUUAUUGAAAGCUAUAGCACAAGCUAUUCCUUCCUAUGCAAUGUUAGUAUUCAAAUUACCAAAAGGAAUUUGUAAAUCAAUUACUGACGAAAUAUUAGCAUUUUGGUGGGGCGAUGGUGAAGGAAAGAUUAAAAUGCACUGGUUCGCAUGGUGGAAACUGUGUGUACCAAAGAAGAAGGGUGGAUUGGGGUUCACGGAUAAUCUUGCUAUGUUAGCAAAGUAGUGUUGGCGUCUUCUUGAAAAUUUGGACUCGUUGUGUGCAUGUGUAUUAAGUGCUAAUUACCCCAAUGGUGACAUGUUAAAGGCUGGACCUAAGAAAGGGUCAUCGUUUACUUGGCAAAGUAUUGUGGCUAGAAUUCAAACUUUGCACUCGCAAAAAAAAAAUUCAAACUUUCAAGAGAGGUUGUAA